GCACUGCUCUUGCUCUCUCUUAGCAGGAACUAAUAAAUAAACGUUAGCCUGAUAAUAACAAUGCAAAGCUCUGCCAGUGUACAGCUGAAUGAGAGGGACGAGCAAGGAGGGAGAGGUGGAAAAUAAUGCCGAGAGCAAGAGACUGAGGCUAUUUGGAGAUUUGUUGUGGAGUUCUGAGCAGCAAGAAAAAGGGACUGGACAGAUUUUCUUUGACUUGGCUAGGUUAGGGAAAUGGGGAGUGGGGAGAAAACAAAGGCUGACAUGGCCUUACUGGAAGGAAGGGCUUCCUUUGUCUGCUUAGAAGGGGAGGAAGAACUUCGAUCUUGGCACUGUUUGAAAUAUGAAGCCUCCUUUGCUUUCUUUGAAGGGAGGUGUGAGAAAGGGGAAGAAACUGGAAUCUUGGAUUUUUGGUGUACCUGGAAGGGAUAUCUUCUGGUUCCUGAAAAUAGGGGGGGGGGGGUUGCACAUCUUAAUUCUGCUUUCUUCACUCAGAAGUCUGCUGAAGAAGGCACAGCAGAAGAACACAAUUUAGAGAAGCUGCUCUCUGUGAGAAGAGGAAUGGCAUGCCAGCUCACCCAAGACAAGCCUCUUUGAGAUCAGCAACUGCAGCCUCUUUUGCUCCCUCUGGAAAACAUCUGCAUAUUUCUCUGUCCUGAGAAUGGAGCAACUUGAGAAACUGCAAGUCACUUCUGGUGUGAGAGAAUUGGCCAUCUGCAAGGACAUUACCCAGGGGAUGCCCGGAUGUUUUGAUGUUUUUACUAUCCUUGUGGGAGGCUUCUCUCAUGUCCCUGAAUGGAGCUGGAGCUGAUAGAGGGAGCUCAUCCACACUCUCCUCGGGUUGGAUUCGAAUCGGCAACCUUUAGGUCAGCAACCCAACUUUCAAAUCAUCAGUCCUUCUGGCACAAGGGUUUAAUCCACUACGCUACCUGGGACUCACUUGAUGAAAACAUGGGAGACAGCCUUCCCAGUGGCUAUCGCAGGUUGUAAAAACCCCAUCUCUUUAUCAGCCUUCCACAUAUGAUGUUUUCACUAUCCUUGUGGGAGGCUUCUCUCAUGUCCCUGAAUGGAGCUGGAGCUGAUAGAGGGAGCUCAUCCACACUCUCCUCGGGUUGGAUUCGAAUCGGCAACCUUUAGGUCAGCAACCCAACUUUCAAAUCAUCAGUCCUUCUGGCACAAGGGUUUAAUCCACUACGCUACCUGGGAUUCACUUGAUGAAAACAUGGGAGACAGCCUUCCCAGUGGCUAUCGCAGGUUGUAAAAACCCCAUCUCUUUAUCAGCCUUCCACAUAUGGAAGACUACUUUCCUUUUGGCACAGGCAAAGGCAAUUCUGCUUAAGCAGGCUUUUAAUGUAUAAAUGUGGUUGGUGGGGUGCUAUUAGGGAUGUUUUCUUUAACUUUUAAACCCAUUGUAACUUUUUAAUUGUUUUAAAAUGUUUGCUGGACUGAUUUAAAUUAUUUUUUGAUUUUAUUAUAAUUUUUUAUGUAUAGCCCUUAGAAACCACUUCAGAUCCCGCUCUGGGAGAAAGCAGAAUAUAAAUAAAUCAAAUAAAUAAAUAAAGAAUAAAGAAUAAAAUACAAUAAAUGGC